AAAUGUUGGCAUUCCUUCUUCACAAAACUCUACUCAUUAAAGAAGCCCAAGGUUGCAGCCCAAGCCCAUAAUUGUUUAAUUACAAUUGUUGUGGUUGCCUUGCUGUCAGCUUCCCAUCUUAGCAUGAUUGCAACUUGCUUCUUCUUCAAAGACCCACGUGAAGACUUGAAGAUCAGUUUGCUGGCAGCUUCCCCACCUUAGCUUGAUAGAGAAAUUGCAACUUGGUUCUUCUUCUCUUUUGUGUGGCUGUGUUGCUGUCGAAAGCCAAGACCAAGUUUGAAGAAUUAGUUCAAUUACAACUUGAUAACCUCAUCACAGUUUGCUGCGUUGCUGCCUUGUUGUCGUGGUUCCCAAUCCCAUCUCAUCUUGCUAUCUUGUCCAAGAUCAAGCUUCAAACUUGAAGAUCAAAAGAAGACCCCUCUUCAUCAUGGCUCAACAAAUGCAGAUAUGAAGUCAUUCAAUCCAAAUGGGGAUGCGAAGAAAUGUAUAUUUGAUUGCGCUGAUAAAUGCCCAACAGGAGACGAUCUAUGCUUCUUGAACUGCCUACAAGAUUGCCUGAAACAACCUCAGACACCUCGAGAUCCCCAUUACUACUGCAACCUUGGCUGCUCUGCAAGCCAGUGUCUCAAAUUUAGCAAUGAUAAACUGAAGAUGGGAGAUUGCGUGGAUCACUGUGCAGACGGAAUCUGCAAAACCAAAUAAUUAAGAUCCAAGCCCUAGUCCUCUGUGUUAAUUUAAUAUGUAUCAUUGUGGGCUUGUUAUACCAUAUUAUAUAUGAUGUCAAUGAUGUAUUGGAAUAA